ACCUUCAGGAUCAACAAUCCAACCACAACACCUUCCUCACAUCAACGACAUUCACAUCAUCCACCAACCCAUGAUUUAACUUCUCCACAUAAACUUCCAUUGGAGAGUUUUGACUCAACCCAAAAUUUAGCACCUCAGCAACAUGGCUAUCCAACACCAACUCUUUAAAUCCAGCAUUAGCCCCCUCCCAGCAUAACUUAAAAUCUCCCUUAAUCUUAACAUCCUGCUUCAGAAUCCCAACAAAUUCAAAAAAGCUCCAUUUGUCAAUGUCUAUCUCUGAUAACAGAGUUAUGUCUCCUCCAAAAUACUUCAAAAAGGGUUCAGGAGUAAAAUAACCCCCAUGGUUAACCUCCACAGUAAAAGCCAUCUCUGAAAAAACCAGAAAAAAAAAUAAUUAGCCUAAAAAAAUAUUAUUUUUUCCAUCAACAAUGACCCCACCCCAUGUGCACCCCACCACAUAAUGACAACAUAGUAGCAGACAUGAGAGAAUAAAAAACAUGAGCACAAUAAAGAAGACUCACCUGUUUUGGUCCACCUACUUCACUUUUGGAACCACAACCUUCAAUACCAGAACCUUGAUCCAAACCUUCAGCCAAACGCGUAUGCUUCAAACUCGCACGAAACCCUAACCCCCAAAACACGAGAACAUCAACCUCGGAGGCACACAACUCACGUGAUCGCCGUCAGCACGUCCCAAGCGAGACCCUCCACGAUAGCGAUGAUGACUCGCAAUUGCGAACCCUAGCCCUUUUGCGGUGAAGUGAGGCGGAGCGUGUGUAGGGAACACAAGUAUGAGACUGAGGAAAGGCUGAUCCAUUUGGCCUUUCUAAGAUAGCAAAACAACACAAGUAUUUUGUGUUGCAUCAGUUUUUAUUUUAAGGUUUAAUUAGUUAUUUAAUCUCUAUCAUUUCUAAAUUUAUUUUGUUUACUAUUUACCCUUGAUAGGCAAAUUUUCAAGUCUCU
rnacentral:lncRNA from 1 species